GGAGUCCCACGGCCGGUUUGCGGAAGCGGGUCGUCUGAAGGGGCCCGGCGGGUGGCUCCCGGGUCUCCGCGGCCUGUGAUCCCCAGAGCGGACAACCGCAGCUGGGGCUCCGUGCGCAACUCGGAGUAAAGGCCGGAACCUACGCUCGGCGGCCGCGUCCCGGCCCCUAGCGCCCUCCGCGAAGUGCCUGGCAGGCUCGGCAGUCUGAGUGUCGCGUUACAGAGUCCCCUGGGCAGUCACCGCUGAAGGGCGGGGGACGCGGGAAAGGCAUUUUGGGGACACAGGAGAGCUGCGAGGGCGAAGCACGGGCGAGCUGUCGUUAGGGCCCAGGAAAGGCCCGUUGCGGGGCGCACAGGCGGGCAGGGGAACUCGCGCCCCGCGCCGCGCGCCCGGCCUCCUGACGCCAGGGCCGGCUUCUGAGCACAGCCACCGCGGCGGCCGGGGGCGGCCACUGCUCCCCGCGAGCCCGCUUCCGCGCCCCAGAAGCCCCCAGAGCCCGCGUCCGAGCUCCAGGCCUUGGAGGAGCCAGGCGGGCAGCUGACAGCCCCGGAGCCGCUCCCGGGUUCCGCGCGCGGUGGCAGCCAGGCCGUGCCUCCCCGUUCCCCUCCCGCGCCGCGCUGCCCCUCCGGGACCCACCAGGCCUGGCUGCGCCUCUUUCCUCUCCUCCCCCGGAGCCUUGGAAAGUGCCCUCCAGAGAUGUGCUUAGGAAGUGUGUGAUGAAUAAAGGAGACAAUCAG
rnacentral:lncRNA from 1 species